AAGUCGUAACAAGGUUUCCGUAGGUGAACCUGCGGAAGGAUCAUUACAACGUAUCCACGUACAAACCAGUGAACUGUUCCCAACGGAAUGAGAUACAAAAGCAAUUUUGUAUUCGAGGUUGAUGGCAUGUCUGGUUCCUGCUGAUGGAGUUUCUGGGCUUUUGCCUCGAAACUAGGGCCUGACAUACCGCGAAAGCUUAUGGCUUUCGGACCUCAAGCUCUUCCGUUUGGUUGAUUACCGUCAGCUUGUAAAACCCUUUAUUAACACUAUGUACCAUUUGAUCUGAUCUAUUCUGUCUGAAAACGCGUUCUUGUUGGCUUUGAGUCACGAACCGUCUCAGCAGGAGUUUGAUACGAAACAAAGAACAACUCUUAACAACGGAUAUCUUGGUUCCC
rnacentral:misc_RNA from 1 species